GGCAGUACGAUCUAUCUUACGCCACAGGCCUUUCAUCGUCAGCAAUUGUUGCCAGUCAGCAAGCCUCAGCCCCUUCCCUGUACCCACCAGCACGGAGGUGAGAAUGGGAAACCUGAUUGUCUCGCCCUUCUUUACAAUUAAUCAUGUGACUGGAUCACAUGGGGAAGUAUAUGGAGUUCAUUUAGACAUCAGUUGAAUGGUGUUUCUAUAUUUUUAGUUUUUCUGCCGGAAUGUGUGGCAGAUUGAUGUUUUCCUAGUAUCCGUACCUCGUACCCCGCUACAGACCAGGUUUAAAGCCAUCCCGCCCUGCUCAAAGCCCAGCCGGCCACUGGACUCUUGCCUGUGAACUGGCGAGGAAUGAUUGAAAAGCAAGGACUGUCGUUGAACUCGCCCGACGCGGGCUGUGGCCGGGCUGAGGCGAGGACUCGAGGGGACGUAAGAACACAAAGACUGAAAAUAGUUUUAUCACACUGAGAUAACUAAAGUUGUUUCCUUUUUUAUUUUAGUUGGCAUCCUCACUGAAAACAAAAACAAAAAUGUUUUUUUUGAAUUGCUCUCUGCGGAUAAUAUCUAGCAUUGUCUCAUAACUCUGUCUUUCUGCCUUUGGUUCCUAAACGGUUCUCACCGCCACAUGCCUCAAGACUGCUCUUAUUUUUUUUUUUUUUCCUUUUCCCAUGCCUGGCUUCUCCAUCAUCCGCAUGGUUCUGUGUAACAACCGCCAGUAAGUUAUAGCACUCUGCUUAAACUGUGUAGGAGACAGUCAUGCUGUUUUAGACAGUCAUUCACGAAAUAUAAUUUUAGCGAGCACAGUCUUUCAGAAGAACAUCAGCGGUCCGUUUACUCCACUUGGUUAUCCUUCAACUUGAAUCCGAACAUCCUCCUUGGCUACCUUACCUCAUCGCUGACCGAAUUUCCGAUUUAUCGCUGUGGUUCUUAAAAUGGAUGUUUGUUAAUGUGACGAGGUAUAGUAAGUUCUUCUAGAGAGACGCUAUGGGGUGCGUGACACCAGAGGCCCAGUAGUUUCGUUCUUGCAUGGGGCCGCUCUAUCCCUGAACACUUAUCGUGGAAGUGUCGUGAUGAUAACUCCAGCGUGUUUGAUGAAACCAAGUGAGCGUUUGACCCGAACAUGCUUUCAUAGCCCAUCAUGCUCUGUGUUCUUUCAUGUGUCGUCCAGCAUGGUGUACUAUAGCACUAGAAAUGUGACUUUUUAACGGUGUCUCCUCAGGCAAAGCAAACUUUGGUUUCGCACCAAACGCUGACUCUCUUGGUUGCGCACACUAUGUGAUGUACAGAGGGACUGUUUUAAAAUGCUAUCAAGCGACCAUCUGAUUUCUUUGAUGUUUUGAAAUCUGUCUCUUGGGUGUGCUUUUCUUUUCCUGUCCGGUCUCUGCUCGGCUUAGUCUUGGGAAUCUCUCAAUCUAAAAUCUCGACCAGUCGUAGCUCAUGGUGGAUCUCAGGCCCAGUUUCCUGGUCAACGCUGAUGUUUUCAAACGAGCAGAUCGAAUUUAACAGGCUCCGUGGGAACGAGACGACGGACAGGCGUUCGGAGGAUUACGUUGACUCGUUCCCUCUCUCCAUGUGUAAGGUUACAAUUGAAAAAAGCACCAUGGUACACUGAAUACUAAGAGAAAUGGGCUGUUACACAUCCAAAUAUGACAUUUGAUAUUAGGUAGGCUACAUUUGGGAUGUACGAAUUCUUUCAAACCUGAACAAUUGAUUCAAUUCCCUCAUGGUUUUUGUCAGCACAUGAAAAUUGUCAAAUGGUGCUCAGCUGACACGCUGUGAUUUGUUGGAAAGAGGAUGCAGUGCACUAUUGCAUGCUUUACGUCAUUUUCACCUCUUUCCUGUUGCGCUUCGUCCCAAGUGUUUCCCAAAAGACAACUUAUCACCAAGUAUCAGGCCCCGGUACUUAAAGAAUGUUUACAUUUUGUUUUUUUUUAAUGGUUUUGUUUGGAUUUUUUUUUUUUUUUUUUUGCUGUAUCACCCAAUUCCUCCUGUUCUUUCUUGGACUGUUCUCUUAUGUAAAGUGUACAUUACCACGUUUCUUUUUUAUACAAUACUGUAACUUGCCUUUGUACAUUUAGGCAAAAAAAAUAAAUCUUUUUAUGAGACAAUCACA